CCAUUUGUAUGGCUAAACCAGAUAUAAUACCAUCUGUAUGGCUAAAACAACAACAACAACAACACGGAACAUUCCGGCAACGGGCCGGCGUCAUGGCAACGCCCUUGCAUGGCAAUCCAAUUUAUUGAACUACAGAUGCUGGGUUAUACAAAAUACACCACUUCAAUUAAGGCUUUUUAGUUUACAUUUGGCCACGCCCCCUCUGUUUGUCCCUCCCCAGCCCCUCCCCCUUAAUAGGCAGAUGACGUUGCAUUUCCAAUACUGUGGCUCUGUGAGGGGACAUGGUACACACGGUCUGUCCACCAUGCUGCUGUUGGUUAUCAUCACAGCAACACAAAGCGACAAAGGCAUUCUCUUACAAGAGGUCAACAGAGGUCACGCAACUCACAACAAACGUGCAACUUUAAACCCCCCCCUCCCCCUCCAUCUCAAAUGGCAACCUAAGCCCAUAGGGCUAUAGUCAAAAGUAGUGCCCUAUGUAGGGAAUAGGGUGCCAUUAGGGACGUACACCCCCCGUCUCAUCCAAGUUCUGCCUGUUCCUCCUCCUCCAUCAUCAUCUCUACAUUGCUGUGGUUCUUAUUGUAUUUCAGUCUUAUUCCCUGCUGCUUCAAACACAUUAGUUUGUCCCCCUCCCCCACAUUCACUAUAGAACAGAUAACAACCCCACACGGUUACUCUUCAUCAUCAUCAUCAUCAUCAUCAUCAUCAUCAUCAUCAUCAUCAUCAUCAUCUGACAGACUGACAGGAAACAGGUCAAACCAAGUAUUACACAGGUGAAAUAGUCACUAACAGGCAAGUUUCUUUACUGACAGGAUCCAAUAUUUGGUUUUCAUGUCCUCAGCUGACAACAGAUGCAUUAGCAAGCAAGGGGACAGGGGAGGGCUGGGAGAGAUGGGGAGGGGCUGGGGGAGAGGGGGAGGGGCCGGGGGAGGGCUUGGGGAGAGGAGUGAGAUAGGGGAAAGAGGCUAGGGGACAGGGGGAGAUAGGGGCUGUGGGAGGGAGGGAGAAGGGGAGAGAGGGGGACAGAGGCUAGGGGACAGGGGAGAUAGGGGCUGUGGGAGGGAGGGAGAAGGGGAGAGAGGCUAGGGGACAGAGGGAGAUAGGGACAGAGGCUAGGGGACAGGGGGAGAUAGGGGCUGGGCAGGGAGGGAGAAGGGGAGAGAGGCUAGGGGACAGAGGGAGAUAGGGACUGUGGGAGGGAGGGAGAAGGGGAGAGAGGCUAGGGGACAGAGGGACAGAGGCUAGGGGACAGGGGGAGAUAGGGGCUGUGGGAGGGAGGGAGAAGGGGAGAGAGGCUGUUAUAGAAAAGGAAAGGGAGUACAGUGAGAAUCUACAGUAGCGUUUUCCAAACUCGGUCCUGGCCCCGCCCCCCCCUGGGUGCAUGUUUUGGUUCUUGCCCUAGCACUACACAGAUUACUCAAAUAAUCUUCAAGCAUGAUUAUUUGAAUCAGCUGUGCAGUGCCAAAAGGUGUCCCCCUUGGGGUCCCCUGGACCUAGUUUGGGAAACACUGCUCUACAACAACAGAAGUGUGGAGAAUGACAUCACCAAUGACAUUAUUUCAUUUAUUUUUUCGUAUUAAAAACCCUAAUUUAAAAAUAAAAAAAAAUCUAUACUUCCUGUUGUAGAUCGCAGAUUCCAUGAGAGGGGAUUGGCUAACUGGACAAACCAACCAAUGAGAGACGGCCUUGGAAGGAUAAAGUAAAAAAAAAAAAAAAAACAUGAUGAGGAUCGCCCAGUCACUUCAGCCAUUGGUGUCUCAGAAGUUUGGUCGCUUGUUAAAAUGUCCAGUCCCUCUUUGACCACAACCCCAAUUGAAAAACCCCACUGUACAAACAUCUUUGUAAACAACACAAGGGUUGCCUCCAAAAUUGCACCCUAAUUCCUUAUAUAGUGUACUACUUUUGACCAGGGCCCAUAGGGAAACCAAGAGGGAAACCAGUAGGGAAACCAGUAGGGAAACCAAUAGGGAUAGGAACCAAUAGGGAAACCAGUAGGGAAACCAAUAGAAAAACCAACAGGGAAACCAACAGGAAACCAAUAGGGAAACCAAUAGGGAAACCAAUAGGGAAACCAAUAGGAAACCAAUAGGGAAACCCACAGGGAAACCAUUGGGCUCUGGUCAAAUAUAAUACACUUGGGUGCCAUUUCAGACGCAAGAAAACCCAGGCAAGACAUAGAAAGAUGAUUGGAUCAUAGAUAGAUUCUCCAGAAAGAAAGAUGAUUGGAUCAUAGAUAGAUUCUCCAGAAAGAAAAAAAAAAAAACCCUAUUUGAAGGCAACAUCAUCAGGCUAAAAGACAAUAUGAUCAUUACUGAAAAAACAUGAUACUUUUUUUUCUCUUUUUACACAUAUAAUCAUCACUGUUGUAUCCACAGGUUUACUUCUCAAAUAAAACUCACAUAUAAUAAUAACUGGUUGUAGCCACAGGUUUACUCCUCAAAAUAAAACUCAUAUCAAUAGCUGUCGCAGUAUAGCAUCUCUCAGUAGAGACAAAACUAGUCAUUUAAAAAAAAGACAGAAGAAGACAGAGAAAUGAUGUUGAAUGAUCGAAGGAAAAUAAAAAAAGUUAGAAAAUAAACCCCAGGAGCAAGUUAUCUGUAUGAACUGAACUAUAUAGGGUGCCUCUUUGGGACUUUGUCUUUUUCUCUCUGGCUAAUAUAGAGGUGCUUAUAAAUACCGCAUCACCGUGGCAACGUGCACAUUCUGGUUAGACAUCCGUUUCUACGGCUACUGUCUCCGUUAGCAAUAACACUGUGUGUAGGAAUCGGGAUUUUAUUUUGGUUCAUAUUGACUGAUUUACCUAUUUCAUUUUACUUUAUUUUAUGAACGUAAUCUUUCCAUUUCAGUUGCAUACAGUUGGAAUAUCUAUAUUUCUAAGUAGAAAUCUUGUUCUCGUGACACUGGAGAGUGAUAAUGGUUAAUCUGUGUGUAAAAACUGAUGUAUUGUAGCUUUGAAUCCGUUGGUCGGUUUGUUUGUUGGUUGUUAAAGGGGCGUCACCACACAGGAAAGUCCAUUCCAUGUUAGGUUUUAGUAACGUCGGAAUGCUGGCACUGCUGAGAGAGACAGCAGCAAAUCAGACCUG
ensembl:lncRNA